AACGAACGCUGGCGGCAGGCUUAACACAUGCAAGUCGAGCGCCCCGCAAGGGGAGCGGCAGACGGGUGAGUAACGCGUGGGAAUCUACCGUACCCUACGGAAUAGCUCCGGGAAACUGGAAUUAAUACCGUAUACGCCCUACGGGGGAAAGAUUUAUCGGGGUAUGAUGAGCCCGCGUUGGAUUAGCUAGUUGGGGGGGUAAAGGCCUACCAAGGCGACGAUCCAUAGCUGGUCUGAGAGGAUGAUCAGCCACAUUGGGACUGAGACACGGCCCAAACUCCUACGGGAGGCAGCAGUGGGGAAUAUUGGACAAUGGGCGAAAGCCUGAUCCAGCCAUGCCGCGUGAGUGAUGAAGGCCUUAGGGUUGUAAAGCUCUUUCAGUGGGGAAGAUAAUGACGGUACCCACAGAAGAAGCCCCGGCUAACUUCGUGCCAGCCGCCGCGGUAACAC
rnacentral:rRNA from 1 species